AUUUGAACGCUGGCGGCAGGCCUAACACAUGCAAGUCGAACGGUAACAGGAAGCAGCUUGCUGCUUUGCUGACGAGUGGCGGACGGGUGAGUAAUGUCUGGGAAACUGCCCGAUGGAGGGGGAUAACUACUGGAAACGGUAGCUAAUACCGCAUAACGUCGCAAGACCAAAGAGGGGGACCUUAGGGCCUCUUGCCAUCGGAUGUGCCCAGAUGGGAUUAGCUAGUAGGUGGGGUAACGGCUCACCUAGGCGACGAUCCCUAGCUGGUCUGAGAGGAUGACCAGCCACACUGGAACUGAGACACGGUCCAGACUCCUACGGGAGGCAGCAGUGGGGAAUAUUGCACAAUGGGCGCAAGCCUGAUGCAGCCAUGCCGCGUGUAUGAAGAAGGCCUUCGGGUUGUAAAGUACUUUCAGCGGGGAGGAAGGGAGUAAAGUUAAUACCUUUGCUCAUUGACGUUACCCGCAGAAGAAGCACCGGCUAACUCCGUG
rnacentral:rRNA from 1 species